GGAAUCUUGCACAAUGGGCGAAAGCCUGAUGCAGCAACGCCGCGUGGGUGAAGAAGGCCUUCGGGUCGUAAAGCCCUUUCGGCUGGAAAGAAGGGCGAAAUAGUUAAUACCUAUUUCGUUUGACGGUACCAGAAGAAGAAGCACCGGCUAAUUCCGUGCCAGCAGCCGCGGUAAUACGGAAGGUGCAAGCGUUGUUCGGAAUGACUGGGCGUAAAGCGCACGUAGGCGGUUUCGUAAGUCGGAUGUGAAAGCCCCGGGCUCAACCUGGGAACAGCACCCGAAACUGUGAAACUUGAAUGCUUGAGAGGUUGGUGGAAUUCCAGGUGUAGGAGUGAAAUCCGUAGAUAUCUGGAGGAACACCGGAGGCGAAGGCGGCCAACUGGCGAUGCAUUGACGCUAAGGUGCGAAAGCGUGGGGAGCAAA
rnacentral:rRNA from 1 species